UAAAAAUCUGCCCAAAGUACACUCUGUUUUGAGCUGGAGCUGUGGCUGCGACCACGUGGCACCACAAGAUUGGCCGGUGGGUCUCUUUCGCACGCUCACCGUGAACAAAGGAAAAAUAGCGGCGGCGGACUCUGGCGUUGGUGGCACCGUGGCAGCACCUCUCCGGUGGCUCUCCGACGAAGGCGAGGUGGGGGUUGGAUGCAGGGUUAGUCGGUGCUGGGGAUGGUGGCAAAAAU
rnacentral:lncRNA from 1 species